GACGAACGCUGGCGGCGUGCUUAACACAUGCAAGUCGAACGGAAAGGCCCUGCUUUUGUGGGUUGCUCGAGCGGCGAACGGGUGAGUAACACGUGAGUAACCUGCCCUUGACUUUGGGAUAACUUCAGGAAACUGGGGCUAAUACCGGAUAGGAGCCCCUGCUGCAUGGUGGGGGUUGGAAAGUUUCGGCGGUUGGGGAUGGACUCGCGGCUUAUCAGCUUGUUGGUGGGGUAGUGGCUUACCAAGGCUUUGACGGGUAGCCGGCCUGAGAGGGUGACCGGCCACAUUGGGACUGAGAUACGGCCCAGACUCCUACGGGAGGCAGCAGUGGGGAAUAUUGCACAAUGGGCGGAAGCCUGAUGCAGCAACGCCGCGUGCGGGAUGACGGCCUUCGGGUUGUAAACCGCUUUCGCCUGUGACGAAGCGUGAGUGACGGUAAUGGGUAAAGAAGCACCGGCUAACUACGUG
rnacentral:rRNA from 1 species